rnacentral:piRNA from 2 species
UGGCUACACCACUGAAGAAAAUGUCUCUCC